rnacentral:rRNA from 1 species
ACGGGUGAGUAAUGCUUAGGAAUCUGCCUAUUAGUGGGGGACAACAUCUCGAAAGGGAUGCUAAUACCGCAUACGUCCUACGGGAGAAAGCAGGGGACCUUCGGGCCUUGCGCUAAUAGAUGAGCCUAAGUCGGAUUAGCUAGUUGGUGGGGUAAAGGCCUACCAAGGCGACGAUCUGUAGCGGGUCUGAGAGGAUGAUCCGCCACACUGGGACUGAGACACGGCCCAGACUCCUACGGGAGGCAGCAGUGGGGAAUAUUGGACAAUGGGGGGAACCCUGAUCCAGCCAUGCCGCGUGUGUGAAGAAGGCCUUUUGGUUGUAAAGCACUUUAAGCGAGGAGGAGGCUACCGAGAUUAAUACCCUUGGAUAGUGGACGUUACUCGCAGAAUAAGCACCGGCUAACUCUGUGCCAGCAGCCGCGGUAAUACAGAGGGUGCAAGCGUUAAUCGGAUUUACUGGGCGUAAAGCGCGCGUAGGUGGCCAAUUAAGUCAAAUGUGAAAUCCCCGAGCUUAACUUGGGAAUUGCAUUCGAUACUGGUUGGCUAGAGUAUGGGAGAGGAUGGUAGAAUUCCAGGUGUAGCG